AUACCUGAUCCUCGUCUGGUCGA
rnacentral:snRNA from 1 species